rnacentral:rRNA from 1 species
GACGAGAAAUAACAAUACAGGGCAUUUUAUGCUCUGUAAUUGGAAUGAUGGGAAUCCAAACCCCUUUCAGAGUAACAAUUGGAGGGCAAGUCUGGUGCCAGCAGCCGCGGUAAUUCCAGCUCCAAUAGCGUAUAUUAGAGUUGUUGCAGUUAAAAAGCUCGUAGUUGGAUUUCUGUCGUGGUCUUCCGGUGCCGCCCGUAUGGGUGCGCACUUGGUUUGCCCUCGGCAUUCUUCCGGUUUCCUUCCCCGCUUCAUUGCGUGGUUGGUUUUUCCGGAACUUUUACUUUGAGAAAAAUAGAGUGUUUCAAGCAGGCUUUCGCCUUGAAUACUUCAGCAUGGAAUAAUAAAAUAGGACUUUGGUUCUAUUUUGUUGGUUUCUAGGACUAAAGUAAUGAUUAAUAGGGACAGUUGGGGGCAUUCGUAUUUAACUGUCAGAGGUGAAAUUCUUAGAUUUGUUAAAGACGAACUACUGCGAAAGCAUUUGCCAAGGAUGUUUUCAUUAAUCAAGAACGACAGUAGGGGGUU